UACAGAGGGUGCGAGCGUUGUUCGGAAUUACUGGGCGUAAAGCGUGCGCAGGCGGUUCGUUGUGUCGGUGGUGAAAUCCCCGGGCUUAACCUGGGAAUGGCCAUGGAAACUGGCGAACUGGAGUGUGGCAGAGGGGGGUGGAAUUCCGCGUGUAGCAGUGAAAUGCGUAGAGAUGCGGAGGAACACCGAUGGCGAAGGCAGCCCCCUGGGCUAGCACUGACGCUCAGGCACGAAAGCGUGGGGAGCAAACAGG
rnacentral:rRNA from 1 species